rnacentral:lncRNA from 10 species
AUAAUCACCCAGAGGGCUACAGCAUCGUGAUGCCAUCUGGACCCAGUAGUAUGGCUCACCAUGAAAGUUUCUCAAAAACUGAAAGCAGAAUCAUCAUUCAAUCCAGCAAUUUUGCUAAGCACUUUGGGAGGCCGAGUGGGUGGAUCACCUGAGGUCAGGGAUUUAAGAUCAGCCUGGCCAACAUGGCAAAACACCACCUCUACUAAAAAUACAAAAAUUAACUGGGUGUGGUGGUGUGCACCUGUAAUCCCAGCUACUCGGGAGGCUGAGGCAGGAUAAUUGCUGGAACCUGGGAAGCAAAGGUUACGGUGAGCCAAGAUUGUGCCACGGCACUCCAACCUGGGCUACAGAGCAAGAC